UGAGGAAUAUUGCACAAUGGGCGCAAGCCUGAUGCAGCGACGCCGCGUGGGUGAAGAAGGUUUUCGGAUCGUAAAGCCCUUUUCUGUGUGACGAGACAAGGACGGUAGCACAGGAAUAAGUGUCGGCUAACUACGUGCCAGCAGCCGCGGUAAAACGUAGGACACAAGCGUUAUCCGGAGUUACUGGGCGUAAAGGGCGUGCAGGCGGUUUCUUAAGUCAGGCGUGAAACCAUUCGGCUAAACCGGGUGUAGUCGUCUGAGACUGGGAGACUUGAGUGUGGUAGAGGCGUGUAGAAUUCCGGGUGUAGUGGUGAAAUGCGUAGAUAUCCGGAGGAAUACCAGUGGCGAAGGCGGCACGCUGGGCCAUAACUGACGCUAAGACGCGAAAGCAUGGGUAGCGAACGGGAUUAGAAACCCCGGUAGUCCAUGCCGUAAACGAUGUACACUGGGUGUUCAGACGGGGAAGCUCGUCGGGGUGCCUAAGCUAACGCGCUAAGUGUACCGCCUGGGG
rnacentral:rRNA from 1 species